rnacentral:tRNA from 1 species
GGAGAAAUGCCAGAGUGGUCGAAUGGACUGGUCUUGAAAACCAGCGUACCGCAAGGUACCGGGGGUUCGAAUCCCUCUUUCUCCG